rnacentral:rRNA from 1 species
AGUACAGUGGCGUACGGGUGAGUAACACGUGGAUAAUCUACCCUGGAGUGGGAAUAACGCUGGGAAACCGGCGCUAAUACCGCAUAAUCCCGAGAGGGCAAAGGAGCAAUUCGCUUCAGGAGGAGUCCGCGGCCGAUUAGCUAGUUGGCAGGGUAAAAGCCUACCAAGACUGUGAUCGAUAGCCGGCCUGAGAGGGCACACGGCCACACUGGCACUGAAACACGGGCCAG